CGGGGAAUUAUGGACAAUGGGGGAAACCCUGAUCCAGCCAUCCCGCGUGUGCGAUGAAGGCCGCCGGGGUGUAAAGCACUUUUGGCAGGAAAGAAACGUCAUGGGUUAAUACCCCGUGAAACUGACGGUACCUGCAGAAUAAGCACCGGCUAACUACGUGCCAGCAGCCGCGGCAAUACGUAGGGUGCAAGUGUUAAUCGGAAUUGCUGGGCGUAAAGCGUGCGCAGGCGGCUCGGAAAGGAAGAUGUGAAAUCCCAGAGCUCAACUUUGGAACUGCAUUUUUAACUGCCGUGCUAGAGUGUGUCAGGGGGAGGUGGAAUUCCGCGUGUAGCAGUGGGAUGCGUAAAUAUGCGGAGGAACACCGGUGGCGGAGACAUCCUCCUGGGAUAACGCUGACGCUCAUGCACAAAAUCGUGGGGAGCAAGCAGG
rnacentral:rRNA from 1 species